GCCGAAAUGGCUCAGUUGGUAGAGCAAUUCAUUCGUAAUGAAUAGGUCCCGGGUUCGAGUCCCCGGUUUCGGCUCCU
rnacentral:tRNA from 1 species